ACUUUGGCCAGCCAUGUGUGAAGGCCCCUUGCCCUCCUUGCGGCUCUUUAAACUCUCCCUUCCUCUCCAGCCUCUGGGUCUUGUCCCUCCUUGGCUUCAGGACUCAGUGGCCCACCCGGGAAAGCCUGUGAGCUCUGCAAUUGGACUGUUCUGUCAGGACUGAUAGGAGAUUGACUUCCUUCUGAGAAGGCUGGACACUCCUUGUGGAGCAAGGCUGGAGGCUGAAUCAUGCUCACUGAAUACUGUGGCAGGGAAAACUGUAGAGCGCUAAAUAAAAACAGAAAUAUAUUCUCUCACUA